CUUUUAUUUUGUGAUCGGUGUUCCUACAAUUCAACUAUGAUAAUUGAAAAACUGAAUGAACAGUGUUGCAAGAUGUGGUGUUGCUCUUCAAUUGGGCCGCUUUUUAGAAGCCACGCGUAGGGCUUCUAUCAACACCAUCUGCCACACAUUCAAAAACGUGAUAAAAAACUAUCAUGUGGGAGAGAGACUGAUAAAAACCCACCGCAUCAAAGACAGAGAGAGAGAGCGCGCGCACGAAGGAACAAGAUCAGGUGGCUGGUGACGACGACGACGAUGGAUUCGGGGUAACAGUCAAGGUCUGAGAUGAACCGACGAUAGGUACGAACACAGAUCAUGGAAGCCGCAAUUUCAGGUUACCACAACCCAACAUUUGCUACUCGAAUCGCAGGCCUGAUUAGGGCUCCAAUCGAAGGUAGGCAUCUGAUUAGGGCUCCAAUUUCUGUUCACAACGACCAGAUUAUAGCGGCUUUGUGGAAACAAUAACUCCCGUUCUCACCAACUUAGGCAGAAGGCUAAGGAUAGUGGCAACUAAAGACGAAAGGUUUGAAUGAGUAUUGAUUGUUUAGCGGUUAAAUCGGAGGUGCCAAUGUGCCAUCCAAGGUGCUAGCUGCUGGUGGAUAGACUUUUAAUUAACUUCUUGUCUCAGAAGGAACCUAAGAUCGGCACUAGCAAGUCUAUUUGAAUUGAAGGAAAAGGAACGAUCAACAUGGCAGGCUCAGUCAAGUUUGUACUCGGAUCACGCGACUUGGUGUUGAAGGUGCAUACAGGAUGAUUUCAGCGAUCUAGGGUUAAGUCGACGGUUUCAAGACAGGUCCGCUGUACAUGGUGGUGCGGUUAUGGCGGUUCUCCGGCUCCGAAAACAGUGAAGAGGCAUCCACCGGACGGAGGCAAUCCGUAAAUAUCAACAGGCAUUGACUUAGAAUCAAAGAGGUGGGUAUUCAAAAAAGAAAAGACCAGAAUGUAUUGGGCAGUUGCAAAAGAAGCAUAAGAGAGUAAAGCUUCUCAACACAUUUACGACUGAUACAAUUUAUGAGAAGAAUUUCUUGUCAUCGACACGCAUUCUUGAGGUUGUCAUAGAUGAUGUUUUUUCUUCCAGUAGGCAUGUUGACAUUACGUUACGCAGUUGGUAUCGGAGGUGAGGGUGGAAUACUUGAAGAUGGUACAAUACAACCAGAGAGCAGACAUCAGCGUCCGUCAUAUGGUUCGUCACGUCUUGAUUUCUAAAACUACACUUUGCAUAUGGAACUUACUGAAGACGAGACUGAGAUUGUCACUCUUCAGUUACCUGAAGAUGAUCAGGGUCUAGCGGCGGGCCAGUUUGCAGCAUUCUACAAAGAACAGGUUUGUAUGGGUCGGGUGUGAUCUUGGAAAGUUGGAAUCAUGGACAAUAAUGGGUUUCCUGUAUGUGAAAAGGCUCGCGAAAUUGCAAACUUGGAAGAUAAAUCUAAGCUUGGUAAACCUGUCAAGAUAAAGCCAAAACCUGAUGAUUGUUUGUGGAAUUCGGUUAUGACGAUAUGAGAUUAGUUUAGAAUUAUAUUUUGGUGUAUAUGUGUAAGCUGUAUGCCUUCUUUGGUCUGUUGGAAUAAUUUUGUUAAGUAUUAAAUUUAGUUUUAUA